UUAGUACUCCCUCCGUUCGGAAUUACUUGUCUCGAAAAUGGAUGUAUCUAGACGUAUUUUUGUUCUAGAUACAUCUAUUUCCGAGACAAGUAAUUCCGAACGGAGGGAGUAGUUA
rnacentral:pre_miRNA from 1 species